UCCAGGAGCACCUUGGAGCCUGAGGAGGGAGAGAGAGGACAAACAUCAGCAGCUUCCUAUAGUCUGACCGUACUGCGGUCCACCUGUAAACUGCCUCUGAGCUAUAAAACCAGAACAUAAGUACUUAAAUAUGACUGGUGGAGAUAUGUUCACACAUGGCGGCGCUGGUUCUCACCCUGCUGCAGGAUGUAGCUGACCAGCUCCGUGUGUCCGUUCUGGGCGGCUUUAUGUAAGGCCGAACAACCUCCAGAGUCUCUGACCAACAAGCUGACGCC